CGUGCCAGCAGCCGCGGUAAUACGAGGGAUGCAAGCGUUAUCCGGAAUUAUUGGGCGUAAAGCGUUCGUAGGUGGCUGUAUAAGUCAGUUUUCAAAGAGUCCGGCUCAACCGGAUAAAGGGGAUUGAAACUGUGCGGCUAGAGUUAGGUAGGGGUAAGAGGAAUUCCUAGUGUAGCGGUGAAAUGCGUAGAUAUUAGGAAGAACACCAGUGGCGAAAGCGUCUUACUGGGCCAUAACUGACACUGAGGGACGAAAGCUAGGGGAGCGAAAGGGAUUAGAUACCCCUGUAGUCUUAGCUGUAAACGAUGACAACUAGGUGUUACGCGUAUCGACCCGCGCGGUGCCGUAGCCAACGCGUUAAGUUGUCCGCCUGGGGAGUACGCACGCAAGUGUGAAACUCAAAGGAAUUGACGGGGGCCCGCACAAGCGGUGGAGUAUGUGGU
rnacentral:rRNA from 1 species